CCAGCCCAAAUACCAAUUCUGCUGCCACAGCCAAUCUUCAAGCCAAAACAUUUAAUUACAUAAUUACAGUAUAGGAGAUAGAAAUUUUACUUGGAGCUAUAGAGAGAGUACCGUAAGGGGCGGAUGAUAGCUAAUUCAAAGCAAUAAACAGCAAAGAUAACCCCUUAUACCUUUUGCAUAAUGAGCUAGCUAGAACAAUUUAGCUAAGAGGCCUUAAGCUAAAAACCCCGAAACCAGACGAGCUACCUACGAACAAUCCACAGGGAUGCACUCAUCUAUGUCGCAAAAUAGUGAGAAGAUUCAUAGGUAGAGGUGAAAAGCCAAACGACCCUGGUGAUAGCUGGUUGCCCAGAAUAGAAUUUCAGUUCAACUUUAAAUUUACCUAUAAUCCCCAAAACUACAAUGUAAAUUUAAAAUAUAGUCUAUCAAGGUACAGCUUUUUAGAAUAAGGACUCAACCUUACUUACAGAGUAAAACUAUUGUAGGA
rnacentral:rRNA from 1 species